rnacentral:rRNA from 1 species
CAGGAACUUUCUAGUAGAUNCAUUGGUNNAUUCGGGAACUCUUGACACAGGUGCUGCAUGGUUGUCGUCAGCUCGUGUCGUGAGAUGUUGGGUUAAGUCCCGUAACGAGCGCAACCUUGUCCUUAGGUUACCAAGCACGUUAUGGUGGGCACUCUAAGGAGACUGCCGGUGACAAACCGGAGGAAGGUGGGGAUGACGUCAAGUCAUCAUGGCCCUUACGGCCUGGGCUACACACGUGCUACAAUGGUCGGUACAGAGGGUUGCCAAGCCGCGAGGUGGAGCUAAUCUCAUAAAACCGAUCGUAGUCCGGAUCGCAGUCUGCAACUCGACUGCGUGAAGUCGGAAUCGCUAGUAAUCGCGAAUCAGAAUGUCGCGGUGAAUACGUUCCCGGG